UCCCUAUCACCUCAGGUCAAGACCCACACACUAUCAGUCCCUAAUGGUUCCCUAUCACCUCAGGUCCAGACCCACACCAUCAGUCCCUAUCACCUCAGGUCCAGACCCACACCAUCAGUCCCUAUCACCUCAGGUCCAGACCCACACACACUAUCAGUCCCUAUCACCUCAGGUCCAGACCCCACACACUAUCAGUCCCUAUCACCUCAGGUCAAGACCCACACACUAUCAGUCCCUAAUGGUUCCCUAUCACCUCAGGUCCAGACCCACACACACUAUCAGUCCCUAUCACCUCAGGUCCAGACCCACACACACUAUCAGUCCCUAAUGGUUCCCUAUCACCUCAGGUCCUGACCCACACUAUCAGUCCCUAAUGGGUCACUAUCACCUCAGGUCAAGACCCACACUAUCAGUCCCUAAUGGUUCCCUAUCACCUCAGGUCCUGACCCACACUAUCAGUCCCUAAUGGGUCACUAUUCCCUAUCACCUCAGGUCCAGACCCACACUAUC